CGUCGUCCCGUUUUCUUUCUCCCUCGCGCACCCUAGCCCUCCCGAUGCCGCCCUUCCUUUCUCCUCCUUGCCCUAACCGCCGGCGGCGGUUACUCCUCUUCGAGCAUACAACCCCUCCGCCGAACCCUCCUUUUCAUCUUCUUCAUUUUUGUCUUUCUCCCGAGCCGAACUCCUCUUCCCACUGCUACCAGCGACGGCAACCACUGCUGUACAACGCCGCUCGUCUGUGAGUGCCGAAGCCGAAGUCUUCUUUUUCUCUUCUUCCAAGCGCCGGUGACGCUUGUGCAAACCGUGCCCUAGCCGAGCUUCCUCCUGCCGAGGCUGCGCCGUUGUCCCUUUUUCUGUGGAAAUUCCCACGCCGCCGGCGGCCACAGGAAGCCCUAGUCGAGGUGUGGUGUGGAAUUAGGGUUGUGGUGAACGACAACAGGUGUCCCCGGCAGCCGCUGUGAUUUCCGGCCACAAUUUCUAGCAAUAUCCCUGGCUGUGAUUUGAGGACUUUGACGCGAGACGAGUAUCUCGGAGUCAGAUUUGGACCAUUUUAUCGGAG